rnacentral:lncRNA from 1 species
GGGCAUUGCUUACAGGGGUCACAGACAUUCAGAUCAUGGCAGAACUGUCACAGAUGUUACUUUGUGAAAACACAAAGAAUAAUGUGUUUGGAGAGAUCAGUCUUCAAUUAGCUAUAUUUUCUAGGAGCCUACCUUUACUUAGCCUCACAACAUGGGCCUUAGCUUUAGCACUUAAUCUGCACAAAUACCUGGCUUAAGUGUUAUGACUGACUGGCUAUUCAACCAAACCAUACAAAUGACCAAUUCGGUAAGAAAGCAUGAACUUCAGUGUUGAACCAAAUCAACCAACCUCCUCAAUCCAAAUGAACAAUGCUAUUCUAGGAGUCUGUGCUAGAAUAAAAUCCUAAUGCAAAGGCUGUCUUAAAAUGCUGAACCCAGAAGAAUUUGGCAUAAAUAAGACAUGGAGUUAGCUGACAUGAGAUAUUACAUUUAUUCCACUGUUGACGAGGACAAAACUGGGCCGCUAUUGUCACAGAAAACGGAAGCAUGUUUGGGCUGAGAGGACAGGUUGCCAGUUGUCUGAACCAGUCAUUCCAACCAGGCUUCACACUUCUGCAAAGAAGAGAGGGCUAGAAUGCCCAGUAGGAGUGCAGACUGGAGGAUCGGCUGUUUUUUGAACUGGAGACAUCACAGGAAACUGGGGAGGCUCCAAAUUGCUAACCUGAGGCCGGAGCAAAAACUUUUUUUUUGUCGAAGGGACUGCUUUUUUUAUUUCCCCUUCAACGGAUGGCAUCCCAAGUCCUGCUGGAUUGCAUCUGUCUUUGUUCCUGCAGCCAAGCCUUAUAGCUGGCUCACACUCUGCCAUGCUCAUAACCUCACACUAGAAAGGAUAUUACAAAGAGGGGCAAACACCCUAGAGGGUUCCCCUUUAUCAGAACCUUCCCUGUCAGUG